rnacentral:misc_RNA from 1 species
GUUCCGUAGGUGAACCUGCGGAAGGAUCAUUCACAGUAAGUGUAUUAUGGCACUUCUUAAACAAUCCAUAUCCACCUGGUGUGCACCGUUCUGAGACCCUCUCUCGUUAUCUGUUAUGUUACCGAAGGGGGAACCUCUACAACUUACCAACCUCACCUUUAACUUAUUUGUCUGAACAUUUGUUAUCACGAAUUUACUUAAUUCGAAAAUACAACUUUCAACAACGGAUCUCUUGGCUCUC